AUGAGUCACCUAAUUUGGAACUGUCAUGGGGUGGGGAACAUCUGAACAGUUCGUGACCUGUUGGCCCUUGCAAAGGCCAACAACCCCAAGCUCGUCUUUCUCUGCGAGACGAGGCAACCUGUUGGGAAAGUAGAAAAGAUAAAAUGGAGGCUUGUACUUCGUGGUUUUAAAGGUGUUGAUUCUGAAGGGAAAAGUGGAGGUCUUGGUCUCUUCUGGGACGAGUCGCUCCAGGUUACAGUCUUAGAAUCUUGUAAUAGGUUCAUUGAUGUGAUAAUCCAUGAUACAGGGGAUGGCAAGCAAUGGAGAGAAACUUUUGUUUACGGAAAGCCCCGUGUAGGAGUAUUGAACCAAAAACUACCACAAUUCAUGGAACCGUGA
rnacentral:rRNA from 1 species